rnacentral:rRNA from 1 species
UAGCUAUGUGUGGACGGGAUAAGUGCUGAAAGCAUCUAAGCAUGAAGCCCCCCUCAAGAUGAGAUUUCCCAACUUCGGUUAUAAGAUCCCUCAAAGAUGAUGAGGUUAAUAGGUUCGAGGUGGAAGCAUGGUGACAUGUGGAGCUGACGAAUACUAAUCGAUCGAAGACUUAAUCAAAUU